ACAGGAUAGUGGAUCAGCAAUCCUUCUGUUGGUGAAAACAAUUCUUGUUUCUUUGUAUGUUGCAUUUUAAAUCACAUCAAUAAUUUUGUUGAAUUGAAUUAUAAAAAACCAUCAUAGAUUUUUGGUACAAUGAUCAAAGUGUAGGAGUGCAUUUACAUCAUUGACAUUGAUUUGCUUACAGAAAUGGGACACAACAUUCAACCAUUUUCCGGGAAAAAGCCGAGUAUUUUGCACAUUCAGAUGCAGAGGAAAAUGUGUUUGCAGGCAAGCGACGGUGAGGGGAUUUGGAAGGGGACUACUCCACCUACAACAGAAGCAGUAGAACUCCAUCUCACAAUAAUCAAGGAUGGAGCACCAGGUGCAAAGAUGGGCACGAGCUGCAGAAUGGUGCUGAGCAGAUGCUGCGUAGCCUCUACCCUCUACCAUUACCCACGCCACUUGGGCUGUACUACUCCUGAAACGAUUGCACGAAAUAAGUAGUUUUAAAAAGUAUCGAACUACUGUUAAGUAAAAAUUUAAAUGGGCAUUAGCCUAUCAGAGCUCACACUAUUUUUGACUAAUUAUCGAUUCCAUUUGGUGUUUGAUUAAUAUCCAUACUUGAAUAUCAUUCAAAAUAAUCAAUCACAAAAUUGAUUAUUGGUAUAAUUUGUUUUUCUACAAUUGAUUGGUAUCCAGUAAUGGUAAAUCCUGGUUCAGCAGUUGAAGAUAGAUAGAUCAGGAUAAACUUUUCAAAACAAUAUUCAAUGAAUUAAAUUUCCAUUGGAAAAAUAUCGAUAAAAACUGGAUGUACCGGUAUUCAAGCAAAAGAUACUGGAUAUUUUCGGUAAAUUUAAAAUGGUUCAUGAAUUCAUA